ensembl:lncRNA
CUGUAGGAUACGUGAUGAUAAACUUGGUCAUGUGACCCACAGGCAUGCACCGUGCAAGACUCCGACGCUCCAGAGGCAAAGCAGGCCGGUACUCGAUCUGAGCUGGAAGAAUGACAGGAAGUGGGAGGAGUCAGUCAGGGGUUAGGACUUAAUAUUUUGUUAAAAAUAACAUAUAAACAUGGACCAAUCCCGUCUCUCUGGAGAUGGGGAUUAAGGUUUAAGAGUGGAACUGUGUAUUAGAUGUGAUUUGGAUGAUGCGAUCGUUCCAGUCCUCGGGUCCUGAGAGAAGCGAUGCCCUCUGAGGCGAGUGCGCUGUGGGAUGAUUUAAACAUGAGGUUCGCAAUGGUGAUAAACUGGUGGCUAUAAACCUCCCAGAUCUGUAAACUACGUUAGCAUCAUAUCCUGAAUGCAGAAUUACGGAAGCAAAUGUUGUGGAUCAAAUAUCUGAGAGGGACAGAGAGACAGAGGGAAAGUAAGGGAGAGAGAGACAGGGGGAAAGGUAAGGGAGAGAGAGACAGAGGGAAAGUAAGGGAGAGAGAGACAGAGGGAAAGGUAAGGGAGAGAGAGACAGGGGGAAAGGUAAGGGAGAGAGAGACAGGGGGAAGUAAGGGAGAGAGAAAGAUAGGGGAAAGGUAAGGGAGAGAGAGACGGGGAAAGGUAAGGAAGAGAGAGAGACGGGGGAAAGUAAAUGAGACUGAGACAGGGGGAAAGUAAGGGAGAGAGAGACAGGGGGAAAGUAAAUGAGACUGAGACAGGGGUAAGUAAGGGAGAGGGAGACAGGGGAAAGUAAGUGAGAGAGAGACAGGGAGAAAGUAAGUGAGAGAGAGACAGGGGGAAGUAAGUGAGAGAGAGACAGGGAGAAAGUAAGGGAGAGAGAGACAGGGGGAUAGUAAGUGAGAGAGAGACAGGGGGAAGUAAGUGAGAGAGAGACAGGGAGAAAGUAAGGGAGAGAGAGACAGGGGGAUAGUAAGUGAGAGAGAGACAGGGGGAAAGUAAGGGAGAGAGAGACAGGGGGUAAGUAAGGGAGAGAGAGACAGGGGGAUAGUAAGUGAGAGAGAGACAGGGGGAAGUAAGUGAGAGAGAGACAGGGAGAAAGUAAGGGAGAGAGAGACAGGGGGAUAGUAAGUGAGAGAGAGACAGGGGGAAAGUAAGGGAGAGAGAGACAGGGGGGUAAUAAGUGAGAGAGAGACAGGGGGAAAGUAAGUGAGGGACACAAGAGAAAGCGACAGUGAGAGACAGACAGACAGGCAUUGGAGAGAGAUACAAAAAGACAUAGAAAGGAAGAGGAGACCGCGAGAGGAGGGGAACACUGAGGGAGAGAAACGGAGAGAGAUGAGAGAGACACACAGAGAGACAAAGACAGACACAGAGAGAUACAGAAAAAGAAAGAGAUACACCGGGUGAGAAAGACUCCGAGAGAGAGAGAGACACGAGUGAAAGAGCCUGAGGAAAAAAACGGAGGAAAAAGAAACGGUGAAAAGACACAGAUGGAGAGAUAUGAUAGAUUCACCAGAGAGAGAGAGAGAGAGAGAGAGAGAGAGAGAGAGAGAGAGAGAGCUGCAGUAUGAGGACAUUAUGGUGUAUGAGAGCAGACGUCUCGCAGCACUCUGAUCAGCUCGUCUUAUCGAUCUGAGUGCCGCGCUCUCUCAUAAGACAGCACUCUGCUAAAUUG